UUCUCCCCUAUUGAGACCUUUAGCAGCGACUGUAAAUAAAUGCGCAGUUUGUCUUCUGCAAGCAAUGCCACUCAAAUGCUGAAACUAUUGAAUCAGCAGCCUUCAAGGCUCACAGAUCAGAUAGUGGUAACCAAGACCUUAACCAAGACCUUGGUCAAGAUAUGACCGGCCUUAACUAGAGUUAGUUAAGCCUUUAGCGUCCGUAGGUGAACCUGCGGAAGGAUCAUUACUAGUUUAGGGUACUUUGUGC
rnacentral:misc_RNA from 1 species